CCCCCCUCCCCUCCACACACAUUGAAGUUCAUUGUUGCCAGAAAAAACAAGAAACAGCAUAUCUGAAAUUUAAUCUUCCUUAAAUUUGCAGAGCAGUCUAAAGAGAAGAUUAACCAUAUAAACUGGGCAUAUUUCGUUAUUCCUCUCAGGAUAUGCAUAAUAACUUUCCCCCACCCAGUGUUUUCUGUUGCUAUUGAUUACUGAGUUUCACUCCUCAGUAAAUUCAGUCUCAGCAAAGCUGAUGCCUCAUGAAAUAAUUUACAAGCCAAGAAGGAUAUGAAAGAGUGAAGUAACCAUGCUCCGUACCCUCCCCCACGACUCUGUGAAUCUUCCAGGCUGAAGCUAGCCAUCUCUGAUAUUUUGAGCAGAAACAUUUACUGGAUGUGUACUGUGAUUAUUUCCAAGUCCUUGUCUCUUCUCCUUCCUCUGCUAAAAUUCAAAAUUGCCUUCUAUAAGCUAUAAAGAUUGUUUUGAAAUAAUGAGCCAGAAAUACACACAUGUUGUGCACAGUCCUAUGGAUCUUGCAGUAAAGCAAAUUAUAGUCUGGAAUGGAUGAAGGAAGAUGAAUCAAAACAUCUCUCUGUACAAAAUGCUUGUGGCUUAGCAGAAGUGGUCUUUUUCUUUCGUCUCAUGGUUAAAAUAUAUUGUGCUAUGAGCCUGUCUCAUGCUAAGAAGCACAGAGAAGAAAACAUACUGAUCUUUUAAAUAGACAGUUGUGGGACCAAAGCUAAUCCAUGGAAAAUUCCACAUACCUUUGAAAUGGAAGAGCUGCAUUUCUGUCUCUUCAGAAGUCUGAUAAUAGCCUCAUGCUAAAUUUUAUCAUCAGGAAUAUAACAUUUCUACAGCAUUCAGAGUAAGGCAUACAAGAAAACAUCUCUGAAUUAUGGCCAGAGCACAAUCCCAGUAAAAUUGAAAGUUCCGUUUUCUCUUACGAGCCAACUGCUGCCCACCAAUAAACAGGUGCACCCACAGGUUAUAUUGGUAUCAAAUGUAGCCAGGUAGUUUCAAGUACAAAUAGCUAAACCAUAGAGAGCUCAGUGCAGGCCAAAGUCCACUUGCAUUUUCCACCUGACACCAGCAAAGCUGGUCUGCAUGUCAAAUCCUUCAGAGCCCUGGCCUUGUUGUGGUCAUUUUCACACCUUACGUGCAUCUGGUGAGUUAAACUCAGUCUAUCCCAUCUGUUAUCUGAACAAAGAAGUACCUUUUUUUCAAGUACAAGAAGUAUGAAGCAAUUUGUAUUGGUAAAUAGCAACUUCUGUCGUGAAAAUGACCAGGAUGCCACAGAUUGUUAUUAUCUCAUGGUUAUUCUCUGUGAGAUAAUUGGAGCCAUCUAUAUGCAGACAAGCACUCAGCAAGUAUGAAUAGCUUCUGUAUCAUACACCAAGCUGGAAGUAAAUUAUUCCCUGUGGAGACUGGGCAUGCUACAAGCCACUUUAUCAGUGCCAUAUAUAUGGGCCCUUGUUUUGUAAACUUACUCGCAAGGAGUCAUUUGGUGUCUUAAUCAAAAUAGCUUCACAAAUCAUACGGCCUUUUGCUUCUGUUUUGGCAUCUCACCUCCUUAUGUUGUGUAUUCAACCAUAGUGUUGAAUAGCUGGUUAUAGUUUUCACUCCACUUCACACUAAAAGGUGCCAGAAUACAACUCUAGAAGGCAGCAUUAAGGAGAGCAUGCAGUCUGUUUAUUUUUAAUAAGCUGAUAUUAAGACUCCAAGCACUGUCCUUCAUGAACUUGUGUGGUACUGAAUUUCUGUAUUCUCAAAAUAACGAUUUUUAUUUUUUAAAAAGGAAGUGGACAGAGUCUUAAAUAGCAAAUCUUGCACUUCUCUGGCACCAUCAUUCUCCUAGUCCAGGCAAAAAAAAACAAAAAACAAUCAAAAAAAAACCCACAAAAAACACGCACACAAAAAAAAAAACAACCGGCCAACCAAACAACCAACCAAACAACAACAACAACAAACACAGUGACUCUCCUAGCAACCUACAGUUUGUUCUUUAGAUUUUUAAUCUUUAAUAGCAACAAUUUCCAUACACAAUAUAUAUCUUUUAGCACAAUUAAAAGAACCCAAACUAAAUCUCCACUGCUCAGCUCUCAGUCUGAUGCUGAAGUAACGUGAGACUUCAAUACUGGAAACUACUUCUGGCUUUCUCAACACAACUGAGGAAGAGGAGAUAAAUUAUUAUUAUUAUUAUUAUUAUUUGGUAAGUUGUUUUAUAAUUAGUGCAAUAGAUAAAUGAGAAAAUCUUCCUCAGAACAUCUCUUGUCUUGCAAUAUACUAGUUAAUAUAUUCUCUUCAGAGUCAGCCAACUGGUUUUAAUUAUACAGUUAUACCAGCAUGUCACCAUCUUAUUCCUAGCAGGGAAGCUGCAGUUAAAACAAAAAAAAUAGUAUAUAGGAGAAACUCAGAGCUGCCAAAGGCGCCAUUACUCAGGUAAUUUUAUUUUUAUUUUUAUUUUUUUUUUACACUGAAGUCCAGCUACUCAUCCAUCACUGAACAUUGUCUUCUAGGAGUCACUUCAUGCAGAUGGAGAAUAGGGCUCAUCUCAGCAUCCUACCCAGCACAUCAGGAGAAUAAUUUCCUCAGCUUAAGACCAUGGACAAAUAACUGCUAAGCAUAAAACAGCAGCUUUGUUUUUCUGUACAGCCUUGCCUUAAUGCCAGCAUUAAAGAGACUGCCCCAGUAAAAAUUAUAGCUUUAAGGUAUUCAGUUUACUGCUAAAAUCCAAUAGCACAUAAAAGUAUAAUACAUAUUUUAAGAGUUACCUUAAUCUCAGAGCUCUUGUGUACAUUGUUUUGGGAGAGUAAGUACCGAUCUGGCUCUGAUCACAGUGAAUUUCCCUACAUCUGUCUCAGUGGAGUGAGAGUAGGAGACUUUCAUCUCAAAACAGCACUAAGAUUACUGUGUCACCCUCUUUGGAGGACCAGAGAGCAUCAGGCCAAAGCAGAGCAAAAGAGUGUCACUGGUGACCAAUAACACUCGUCCAGCCAGACAGGGAAUGGAGUAGCCCACAUUCCCCAGCCACCUUUCUGUAGGCACUACACAACAUGAAAACGGAAAAGAGCGAUGGGAUGGAGCACAAGGCUGGUUUCCACACACUCCCUUGAUAAAAAAGCCAGGAAGAAAAGGAGCGCAAGAGGGAUGCUACUGCUGCACACCACCUUACUUAUUAUAUAGAGCAAGAAUCUGUCUGUCAGAGAGAAGGAGAAGGAAUUAACUUCUCCACAAAAGCAAACCGAAAGGAAAAGAGUGAAGAAAAAGUAGGAGUGAUUGUGAAGCUUGUGGAGUUUCCAUUUGUCAUUUAUUUAUCAGAAGACAGACAAAACAGGAUUGAAAAAACGUACCAGCCAGCAAGGAAUAUUUAUCCACACUGCCUCUCCAAAACUGCUUUACUGAUAGACCUCUACAGAAGUCUUCCUCACUGACUUCUACAAAGAUACCAAAAAAUAAGUUCUCACUCUUAAAAAGGACAUUUGAAAGAGACUAGGGAUUUUCCCACUGAGAAAGUUCCUGAAAGUUGAAUUUUCUCUUUAUCUAUUUCCACCAGUAAAGAAGAGAGUGCUAUUCUUAAAAGGGAACAGAUUUUUUGGUUUUGGCCAGAUACAGAAAUCUUUGUUGCUAUAUUUGGCUUCCAAUGUAGGACUCUGCUUGCUGGUGGGAGGAGGAAAUUAGAGCUGGUGUUAUUCAUAACUAAAUGGGCAUGAAAAACAAACCACAUCUCUUUGAACUGUAGUGCUACUAUGAGCAUUCACGUAACAAAUCAUUUUCAAAGCCUGCAAUACCUCUGUGCAUGCAACAGCCAACAUCAAAUCUUUAUUACCCGCUCAUUUUCCCUCAGUGAUAAACCACUGCAGAUGUACAGUUAUUGUCAAGGCAAAGACAUUGGUGUAGUUCCUGGUGGUGAUUGUGCUGUUUGUUUUGUUUUUUAAUAUCAUUUCUUGCUCAUCUUGAAAGAAAGCAAAAGUGAUGUUCUGAAAGAUAGACGGUUACUGGAAGACUGCAGGAUCCGGCCCCAGUCUUUUUCCCAACAACCCCAAAAAAGAAAUCAGCUAAAUUAAUUGGCAUCCCAGCCUGACACACAGCUCAGCCAUGAGGAAUUCUCACCAGAUGUCUUGGUCCCCACCCGGCCUCCCACGUCAUGCAGGCAGCAUAACCCCUCAGAGCCUGAGGUACUGCUAGGAUGACUGGCCCCACUGUGCUGGGAGUUGAUGUAGAGGGUUGAUGUUAGCCCUGGCAACCUCCCCCACCAUUGUGGCAGAUGCCAGCCUCACUCCUCACAUUUUCCACACUGAUUCCCUCAUGCCAGCCAGGCUGAGCAUUGCUGAGGUUAUCCAGCUCCCUCCUGACACUAAGUGAAGUGCUUCCCCCUGGCAUCAGGCAGGAACCCAGUUGGCAAUAAAUAAAACCCAAAAUAAGAGUUAUCUGGAUGGAAGUGAUGAGAUUCUUGAUGGACGUGAGGUCAGUAAAUCCAACUGAGUGGCACUGAUUUACAUGAAUGGAGGCUGUGGUUCAGAUUGAAUAAAAUCAGUCACAAAACAAUGCUUCCUCUGGAGCAUCACUGUUUCCCCUCUUGUUUCGUGGUGCAGUGAGUACAUACAGAAAUAACACCUAUGAGUAUUUGAAAACCAAGGCAUGGGGCAAGGCAGCUGGAGCUCUACUCUGGUGAGAGUAGUAGAGUAAGAUGUUACUAAGAGGAGAAAAAGCACAUCAGCUCACUCAUCCCCCAGUCUAACCGCACUGUUGCUGCCUAAAACACGUUUACUUCACUGAGGCUAUUUGUGAUUGUCUUAGAGCAAUAGGGCUCUCCCAGAUCUUUCCUCACAGACUAAACCACAGUGUACAUAGCUCACUUCAAAGAAAGAAGUUUCCUGCAAUGUUUAUCCCUGCUUUUUCUCGACACUUAGUUUGUAUCAAAUUUCUAAGUCCUCACACUGCUCUGGUAUUUUUUGAUGGCUGUCACGUCCUUUCUAUUUCUUUCAUGUACAAGCCAAGUAAUUGUUAGGCAUCAUUUGCUUAUUUUGCAAUGGUCCUUAUCCCAUCCUCACCUCCAUCAUCCCUGCAGACUAUUUAUCUCCCAGUAGUUCCCAACUGCAUUCUCUCCUACAGGAAGGUCUGAAUGCAAGUUUCCCCUUCCCUGGUCUUCCUUUCCUUACAUUUCUGGCUGGCAGCUCUCUAUGCCUCUUACUCAUGGCCCAAGAAAGAAAAGGAUGAUUCUUUUCAUGCAAAAGAGCAAAGCACUCUGCUCACAAAACUCUCUGCUCACUGUCCAGCCCUGGAAAUAAGUCCUGGAGCAAGACAUAUGGGGAAAUUCCUGCUCAUCUACUGAUCCUGCUCUGAUACAGUAUAGCCCAUAUGGUCAGGAUCUUAACAGAAUUUAGCAACUAAACUCUUAACAGCUCCCUGCUGAUUGCGUGCAAGUGGCAAUUUUUCAAAAGCUCUGUGCUUGGCCAAAGUUUGGAAGUUUCCCCUCCCCUGCUGCUGGAACAGUAAAUGAUAUAUCUGUGACCAACAUAGCAAACCUUCACCCCUCAAUCCAGAACACAGACAUGCAAACAUCACUCAAUUAAACAGUUGUAAAAUAAUUUUAGCAAGGGCAUAGUCACUUCCUUAAUGGGAAUUACUGAACUUUGUCAUAAAAAAAAAAUCAAUUUGUGAUUUAAAAAAAAAAAAA
ensembl:lncRNA